UUUAUUUUCUUCCUACCUUUCAUACUCUCUCUCUCCAAUCCACAAAUCGUAUUCUUCUAACAAAUAUCCAUCUGUCUGUGCCUCGCAAUAAUGAAGAGUGCAAAGAUUUUAUGUGUUCUUUUUGCCACAUGUAUAUGAAAGGUAUGAAGUGGGAAAUUUUGAGUGUGAAGCCUGAUAUAUCAGACGAAAGCAUUAUGGAAAUUAAUAAAACAAAAAAGGAAUUGGGGAUUCGAGAUUGAAGCAUGAUAAUUCAAAAUUUAAAAACGAUGCGUCGCUUGCGUUUACAUAAUUUCGGCAGUAUUAAAAGCAUAUUUAUAAUUGGUUAUCUCAUGUUUACUCCCCGCUUGAACAUGGAAUUCCAACAUUAAUUUUAUCGGAGACAUAUCAUUCCAAGACAAAAUCUUCUAUUACAAUUGGACGCAAGCAUUAUUUCUCGGAAACAUGAAAGCUGCAGUUUAAUCAUCUUUUGCUUUAUUGUUUUUUUUUCUUUCCAUUACGUAUAUAGUAAAUCUUGUUGGGGUAUGUAGUGAAUUUGUGUAAUAGUUCAUACAUAGUGUUAAAUUUGUACGAGCAAAAUUUCACUUGUUCC
rnacentral:lncRNA from 1 species